GAGAAUACCAAGGCGCUUGAGAGAACUCGGGUGAAGGAACUAGGCAAAAUGGUGCCGUAACUUCGGGAGAAGGCACGCUGAUAUGUAGGUGAAGCGACUUGCUCGUGGAGCUGAAAUCAGUCGAAGAUACCAGCUGGCUGCAACUGUUUAUUAAAAACACAGCACUGUGCAAACACGAAAGUGGACGUAUACGGUGUGACGCCUGCCCGGUGCCGGAAGGUUAAUUGAUGGGGUUAGCGGUAACGCGAAGCUCUUGAUCGAAGCCCCGGUAAACGGCGGCCGUAACUAUAACGGUCCUAAGGUAGCGAAAUUCCUUGUCGGGUAAGUUCCGACCUGCACGAAUGGCGUAAUGAUGGCCAGGCUGUCUCCACCCGAGACUCAGUGAAAUUGAACUCGCUGUGAAGAUGCAGUGUACCCGCGGCAAGACGGAAAGACCCCGUGAACCUUUACUAUAGCUUGACACUGAACAUUGAGCCUUGAUGUGUAGGAUAGGUGGGAGGCUUUGAAGUGUGGACGCCAGUCUGCAUGGAGCCGACCUUGAAAUACCACCCUUUAAUGUUUGAUGUUCUAACGUGGGCCCCUUACCGGGGUUGCGGACAGUGUCUGGUGGGUAGUUUGACUGGGGCGGUCUCCUCCUAAAGAGUAACGGAGGAGCACGAAGGUUGGCUAAUCCUGGUCGGACAUCAGGAGGUUAGUGCAAUGGCAUAAGCCAGCUUGACUGCGAGCGUGACGGCGCGAGCAGGUGCGAAAGCAGGUCAUAGUGAUCCGGUGGUUCUGAAUGGAAGGGCCAUCGCUCAACGGAUAAAAGGUACUCCGGGGAUAACAGGCUGAUACCGCCCAAGAGUUCAUAUCGACGGCGGUGUUUGGCACCUCGAUGUCGGCUCAUCACAUCCUGGGGCUGAAGUAGGUCCCAAGGGUAUGGCUGUUCGCCAUUUAAAGUGGUACGCGAGCUGGGUUUAGAACGUCGUGAGACAGUUCGGUCCCUAUCUGCCGUGGGCGCUGGAGAACUGAGGGGGGCUGCUCCUAGUACGAGAGGACCGGAGUGGACGCAUCACUGGUGUUCGGGUUGUCAUGCCAAUGGCACUGCCCGGUAGCUAAAUGCGGAAGAGAUAAGUGCUGAAAGCAUCUAAGCACGAAACUUGCCCCGAGAUGAGUUCUCCCUGAGACUUAGAGUCUCCUGAAGGAACGUUGAAGACGACGACGUUGAUAGGCCGGGUGUGUAAGCGCAGCGAUGCGUUGAGCUAACCGGUACUAAUGAACCGUGAGGCUUAACCUU
rnacentral:rRNA from 1 species